rnacentral:lncRNA from 1 species
UUAUUUGGAAAAGACAUGGGUGAAAUGAAACAACUACCCAUAGUAAAAUGGAGAGGUUUUGGUGUUUGGUUCAAAAAGUUAAGGUUGAUAGGACAUUUUUCAGCUAAAGAGAGCAUUAAAUGGUGACAACUGUUUGUCCAAAAAAAAAAAGAAAUGGUGACAAUUGAGGCUAUUAUCCAGAGGACAAACGUUUUAUUGGGUAAUUAGAGAGUUAAUUGAACCACAAAAAGAAGAAUGAGUGUUGUUAAUGGAGGACAAGUAAGAGAGAGAAUUUCUAGAAGUGGUGAAUGGUGAAGAAAGAGAACCAAAUUUUUUCGAGCUUAAGAGGUUAUUAGCAACAAACAAGAUCGACAAAGGCAUACAAAAUUAAAAAUGUCUAUGGCUGUUUGAAUGUCCAUCAGGAAAAUACCUCGUAGAUGUGUGAAUGUCCUGGAAAAUCUCUCUUCGAUGGACAUUACUGCUCAUAGCUUUGAGUCUAAGGACGAAUUCAGUAGGCAAUCUCUCUUCUAUGGACAUUACUCGUCUAUAGACAACUGAUGGCUCGAAUAUGUCAUGAAUUCUUGUCCAUGAUACUUUCAUCGGAUUUGGUCCACUAGAUCUAGUCCAUCAGAUCUAUUCCAUCAGAUUCUAGUACAUCUACAGACAAAUGUGUUAUCCAUAGCGUAAAUUUGGUUAGAUCGUGGAUGACGUCUUUCAUAGAUGUAUUAUUUUUUUCAUCCUCUGGUCAAUCAGUUUUGGUUUUAAGAAAUUUUAAGAUAGACAAGAUUAAUUAGUAAACAUUAACAAGUUUGGUCUACCGAUUUCGAUCUAUCAGAUCUGGUCCACUGAGAGAUAAAUACAAAAUCUGGUCCACUGUCGGAUCUAGUCCGUCGAAACCAGAACUGGUCUACCGGAGCUGGUCCACCGGAAUUGUUAAGGUAUUUGUUGUUGAAGAAAGAAAAAAAAAAGAUGAAAGAAGAAGAGAAAGAAAGAGAUGAAAGAAAAAGAUGAGAUGAAAGAAAAAGAUGAGAUGAAAGAGAAAGAGAUGAAAGAAAAGAGAGAAAGGUUUAGAAGGCCAAAUUUGACAUUUGAAUAACUUAAAAGUGGGUCAUGUGGCAUUUUUUAAAAAGUUGUAUUGAAUGUGGCAUUUUUCAGAAGUUUGGCCGUUUGGAUACUGUUCAUGGUUCUAAAAAUAACCAUAGUGAUAACAACAUGUUAGAUAUGACAAUAAGGUGUAUAUUUUUUUAUUGUUUUACACUAUGAAUAUGGGAUUUGAGAGAAUCAAAUUUAUGUAAAUGCAC